AGAGAAAAAAAAACAAGUGAACUGCAGAAGAUGGUGCUAGAAAGGGAGAGUAAAAACAAAAUAAUUACUUGUAUAAAAAUUCAUGCAUUUCUCACCUUCUGGCACCAUCUUCUGCACUGCUUGCUUCUUUUUUUUUUUU